GCUAAACGCCUAAAUUUAUGCAAUGUUCAUUACCAAUAUUCUUUAUUAUGCAUUUAACAGUCUCUUUUAGGACCUUAAAUAGUUGCGUGUAUCAAAAAAACUAGACACAACUGUCAUGAAAAUGAUAUCAAGACUUUACGGUGAUCAAAAUUUCAGCAAUAGGUAUAAAAUAAGAUGAAAAAUACCGUCACAAACGACAUUUAAGCCUUUCAGCCAAGUAGUCGUAAAGAUACUGCAAGUAUUCUGGAUUGAUUUAUUACAACUCUCGAUAGAGUUAUAACCAGCAAGAGUAGCACACCGUAAACCAUAUGGAAUGUGUAUUUAAAAGGCCUUGUCAUAAAACAUUGAUCAAAUCACUGGAAACCCUUAAGCCUCUCAUGCCUUAUCACCACUCAAGAACAAACCAAGAGCCGGCAGGCCUAGAGAGCACCCGAUCGAUGAUAGCCCGUUGACCUGAACGCUAGCACCGUAUGUCAUGCAACCCGCUCCUCCCGGAUGUCGAGGAAAUUAGUUUAAACAUGAAACAAUUACCCUCCGAUUGCAGCAGGCGUUGAAUGGAAACCCGUUCUAGCAAUUGCUAAACCUCCGUCUUCACAGUUUCCUACGGUGAAGUGUACACGGUAUCGUUCCCACCACUCCCGUCUCAGUCGAACGAAGAAAUCCUUCAGAGGCUUGGCUAACGUUUUUGUGCAAGAAGCAGCAGCAUGGCUAAUCGGAGGAAUCAGUGUCAGUGUGAGCUGAUCUAAUCACGCUGCGAGAACGGUGGGAAGCGUUGGACAUUGCAAAAUUAAACACAGAAGAACACCCUGUCCGGAACGUGGAGCAAGAAGAGUGAAGUCUGAGACGCAUAACAGGACGAGCGACACAGGUGCAAAGUGCACCGUUGCGAAGAAAGCGGAGAACUGGUGAUGCAAAGACUUUGAUUGAGCUGCUGGCAGGUAGACUGGUCGGGUUCGGUAGCGUUAGCAAUCCCGUUAUGAUACCUCGAAGACAGCCGGAAUGUGCAUCAGCUGGUCGGUCCAGACCCCAUGCACACCAGACAGGUGGUGCAAUUUGUGGAUUAUAAUGAGACAAGUGAAACCCUACCGUCGUAUCAGACUGGAGAGAGCGUGGAAGUGUGGGCUGGUAAGAGGUUGGUAGUCCCAAUUCACGUGGAAAACUGGUGGCAGUGGUUCAGGUUUCAAGUGGGAUUUUUCGGAAGUGGGUAUCGUUUGGGAAGUUGCCCUGUCGAUAGAGAUCGACAGCUUUCGGUCUAGUGCCGACAGUGUCAAGUGGGAAGCAUAAGGGGCCCGCGUAUCCAUUUCCCAGCUCUCUGGCUUUUUGAGGCUUGAGUAUGCUUUGCUGACAACGAAAAGAGCACACACACACUCACAGCAGUAUGAGUACCAGAAGGAAUGGUAAAAUGUUGUUGGAAGCAAAGCGUCUACUUCAGGUGUGGUGCGUACACUCAUUUCGAGGCUUGAAGUGCUCCUGUACCUUCAGGGAUGCCAGCAAUGUCACAAGAGAGCGUAUCUAUUGCUAUGGAUCAAAGCCUGCGGCUUUUUGUUUCGCUCAUCUCGCAAGCUCAUCCUGCCAAGGGUGUUGAACAAUUGAAUUUCAUAAUAAAACAAUUGAAU